UGCCCAGCAACUCCUAUCCCUACCUCCGUAGGGUACCGGUUGGAAACUACGAGCAACCUUAGGGAAGAUCAGAUAACCAACCCCGGUGGGAACUCGUCGUAGGCUAACAGGGAAAG
rnacentral:ribozyme from 1 species